rnacentral:rRNA from 1 species
UGAUGCAGCAAUGCCGCGUGAGGGACGAAGGCCUAUAGGGUCGUAAACCUCUUUUAGCAGGGAAGAAGCGAAAGUGACGGUACCUGCAGAAAAAGCACCGGCUAACUACGUGCCAGCAGCCGCGGUAAUACGUAGGGUGCGAGCGUUAUCCGGAAUUAUUGGGCGUAAAGAGCUCGUAGGCGGUUUGUCACGUCUGCUGUGAAAACUGGAGGCUCAACCUUCAGCCUGCAGUGGGUACGGGCAGACUAGAGUGCGGUAGGGGAGAUUGGAAUUCCUGGUGUAGCGGUGGAAUGCGCAGAUAUCAAGAGGAACACCGAUGGCGAAGGCAGAUCUCUGGGCCGUUACUGACGCUGAGGAGCGAAAGCGUGGGGAGCGAACAGGAUUAGAUACCCUGGUAGUCCACGCCGUAAACGGUGGGCGCUAGAUGUGGGGACCAUUCCACGGUUUCCGUGUCGCAGCUAACGCAUUAAGCGCCCCGCCUGGGGAGUACGGCCGCAAGGCUAAAACUCAAAGGAAUUGACGGGGGCCCGCACAAGCGGCGGAGCAUGCGGAUUAAUUCGAUGCAACGCGAAGAACCUUACCAAGGCUUGACAUACACGAGAACGGGCCAGAAAUGGUCAACUCUUUGGA